UACGUAGGGGGCUAGCGUUGUCCGGAAUCAUUGGGCGUAAAGCGCGUGUAGGCGGUUCGGUAAGUCCGCUGUGAAAGUCGGGGCUCAACUCCAGAACUGCCUUUGAUACUGGCGAGCUUGAGUUCGGGAGAGGUGAGUGGAACUGCGAGUGUAGAGGUGAAAUUCGUAGAUAUUCGCAAGAACACCAGUGGCGAAGGCGGCUCACUGGCCCGAUACUGACGCUGAGGUGCGAAAGCGUGGGGAGCAAACAGG
rnacentral:rRNA from 1 species